rnacentral:rRNA from 1 species
CCUACGGGAGGCAGCAGUGGGGAAUAUUGGACAAUGGGCGCAAGCCUGAUCCAGCAAUGCCGCGUGAGUGAUGAAGGCCUUAGGGUCGUAAAGCUCUUUUACCAGGGAUGAUAAUGACAGUACCUGGAGAAUAAGCUCCGGCUAACUCCGUGCCAGCAGCCGCGGUAAUACGGAGGGAGCUAGCGUUGUUCGGAAUUACUGGGCGUAAAGCGUACGUAGGCGGUUAUUCAAGUCAGAGGUGAAAGCCCGGGGCUCAACCCCGGAACGGCCUUUGAAACUAGGUAGCUAGAAUCUUGGAGAGGUCAGUGGAAUUCCGAGUGUAGAGGUGAAAUUCGUAGAUAUUCGGAAGAACACCAGUGGCGAAGGCGACUGACUGGACAAGUAUUGACGCUGAGGUACGAAAGCGUGGGGAGCAAACAGGAUUAGAUACCCUGGUAGUCCACGCCGUAAACGAUGAUAACUAGCUGUCCGGGCACUUGGUGCCUGGGUGGCGCNGCUAUCGCAUUAAGUUAUCCGUCCGUCGGGUAGGUACGGUCGGCGAAGAAGUUAAAACGUUAAAACGGUAAAGUUAGUACGGUCGUGUAGUUACGUUGUCCGAACGGACGACGACGAGGGGAGGUAGG